UAGGGAAUCUUCCACAAUGGACGCAAGUCUGAUGGAGCAACGCCGCGUGAGUGAAGAAGGUUUUCGGACCGUAAAGCUCUGUUGUUGGUGAAGAAGGAUAGAGGUAGUAACUGGCCUUUAUUUGACGGUAAUCAACCAGAAAGUCACGGCUAACUACGUGCCAGCAGCCGCGGUAAUACGUAGGUGGCAAGCGUUGUCCGGAUUUAUUGGGCGUAAAGCGAGCGCAGGCGGAAGAAUAAGUCUGACGUGAAAGCCCUCGGCUUAACCGAGGAAUUGCAUCGGAAACUGUUUUCUUGAGUGCAGAAGAGGAGAGUAGAACUCCAUGUGUAGCGGUGGAAUGCGUAGAUAUAUGGAAGAAUACCAGUGGCGAAGGCGGCUCUCUGGUCUGCAACUGACGCUGAGGCUCGAAAGCAUGGGUAGCGAACAGGAUUAGAUACCCUGGUAGUCCAUGCCGUAAACGAUGAGUGCUAAGUGUUGGGAGGCUUCCGCCUCUCAGUGCUGCAGCUAACGCAUUAAGCACUCCGCCUGGGGGAGUACGACCGCAAGGUUGAAAC
rnacentral:rRNA from 1 species